rnacentral:lncRNA from 12 species
GUUAAAGUCAAAUUGCUCAUUUUUUAUGUUGAUUGUGCUUCAUUUUUGAAUGGGAAUUCUUGCUGUUCUCCUGCUUUGUUACUUCAGAUGCUCAGCUAUUAAAAAACCCCACAAUUAUUACCCUCACCUACCCUCUGAGCUAGAAAAGUGGUAUAUUAUCUCCACAUUAUGGAUUUUGAACUGAGGAGCUGAAAGACUUGAAAUGCCACCAUCUAAAAAUAGAUUAGAGCUGUUACAGUUCAUUAGCACAAUGAAAACUUUGGACCAAACUGAUACCCAGCCUUCCCUUAAAAAUCCAACCUCUCCAUAAACUCUCUGUUACAAUACAAGACAGGCAAGGGUGACUGCUACCCUGAAAUUUUAUGGCACUUCUGUGUUGCUUCACUUUCUCAGUAAAUGCCAGCAACAUGAUGUGCAUUAUGACUCCAGUUACACAGAGCUGCUUCCAGAUGUUCCAAGGCUCCAAGAUCAGGAUCUUUCAGAUUUU